rnacentral:rRNA from 1 species
UUAUCGGUACGGGUUGUGGGAGCAAGAUCCCGGAGAUGGAUUCUGAGACAUGAAUCCAGGCCCUACGGGGCGCAGCAGGCGCGCAAACUUUACAAUGCGAGCAAUCGUGAUAAGGAAACCCUGAGUGCCUGUUGAUGCAGGCUGUUCAUCUGUUUAAAUUGCAGGUGAAGAAAGGGCAGGGCAAGACCGGUGCCAGCCGCCGCGGUAAUACCGGCUGCUCGAGUGAUGGCCACUAUUACUGGGUUUAAAGCGUCCGUAGCUUGAUUGUUAGGUCUCUUGGGAAAUCUUCUAGCUUAACUAGAAGGCGUCUAAGAGAUACCGGCAAUCUUGGAACUGGGAGAGGUAAACCGUACUUCAGGGGUAGGAGUGAAAUCUUGUAAUCCUUGAGGGACGACCUAUGGCGAAGGCAGUUUACCAGAACAGCUUCGACAGUGAGGGGCGAAAGCUGGGGGAGCAAACGGGAUUAGAUACCCCGGUAGUCCCAGCCGUAAACAAUGUACGUUAGAUGUAUCGGCAACCACGCGUUACUGAUGCGUCGCAGAGAAAACGUGAAACGUACCACCUGGGAAGUAUGGUCGCAAGGCUGAAACUUAAAGGAAUUGGCGGGGGAGCACCACAACAGGUGGA